AUUGAACGCUAGCGGGAUGCUUUACACAUGCAAGUCGAACGAGUGGCGGACGGGUGAGUAAUAUAUCGGAACGUGCCCAGUAGCGGGGGUAAAUACUCGGAAGGGGGGGUAAUAACGGAAACAUUGGGAGGGGCGGAUAUGGGAUUAGCUAGUGGGUGGGGUAAAGGCUCACCAAGGCAACGAUCCGUAGCGGGUUUGAGAGGAGGACCAGCCACACUGGGACUGAGACACGGCCCAGACUCCUACGGGAGGCAGCAGUGGGGAAUUUUGGACAAUGGGGGAAACCCUGAUCCAGCCAUCCCGCGUGUAUGAGAAGGCCUUCGGGUUGUAAAGUACUUUUGGCAGAGAAGCGGUAUCUGCAGAAUAAGCACCGGCUAACUACGUGCCAGCCGCCGCGGUAAUUC
rnacentral:rRNA from 1 species